GGCGUGGGGGGGUGCUAUACAUGCAAGUCGAACGAACUCUGGUAUUGAUUGGUGCUUGCAUCAUGAUUUACAUUUGAGUGAGUGGCGAACUGGUGAGUAACACGUGGGAAACCUGCCCAGAAGCGGGGGAUAACACCUGGAAACAGAUGCUAAUACCGCAUAACAACUUGGACCGCAUGGUCCGAGCUUGAAAGAUGGCUUCGGCUAUCACUUUUGGAUGGUCCCGCGGCGUAUUAGCUAGAUGGUGGGGUAACGGCUCACCAUGGCAAUGAUACGUAGCCGACCUGAGAGGGUAAUCGGCCACAUUGGGACUGAGACACGGCCCAAACUCCUACGGGAGGCAGCAGUAGGGAAUCUUCCACAAUGGACGAAAGUCUGAUGGAGCAACGCCGCGUGAGUGAAGAAGGGUUUCGGCUCGUAAAACUCUGUUGUUAAAGAAGAACAUAUCUGAGAGUAACUGUUCAGGUAUUGACGGUAUUUAACCAGAAAGCCACGGCUAACUACGUGCCAGCAGCCGCGGUAAUACGUAGGUGGCAAGCGUUGUCCGGAUUUAUUGGGCGUAAAGCGAGCGCAGGCGGUUUUUUAAGUCUGAUGUGAAAGCCUUCGGCUCAACCGAAGAAGUGCAUCGGAAACUGGGAAACUUGAGUGCAGAAGAGGACAGUGGAACUCCAUGUGUAGCGGUGAAAUGCGUAGAUAUAUGGAAGAACACCAGUGGCGAAGGCGGCUGUCUGGUCUGUAACUGACGCUGAGGCUCGAAAGUAUGGGUAGCAAACAGGAUUAGAUACCCUGGUAGUCCAUACCGUAAACGAUGAAUGCUAAGUGUUGGAGGGUUUCCGCCCUUCAGUGCUGCAGCUAACGCAUUAAGCAUUCCGCCUGGGGAGUACGGCCGCAAGGCUGAAACUCAAAGGAAUUGACGGGGGCCCGCACAAGCGGUGGAGCAUGUGGUUUAAUUCGAAGCUACGCGAAGAACCUUACCAGGUCUUGACAUACUAUGCAAAUCUAAGAGAUUAGACGUUCCCUUCGGGGACAUGGAUACAGGUGGUGCAUGGUUGUCGUCAGCUCGUGUCGUGAGAUGUUGGGUUAAGUCCCGCAACGAGCGCAACCCUUAUUAUCAGUUGCCAGCAUUAAGUUGGGCACUCUGGUGAGACUGCCGGUGACAAACCGGAGGAAGGUGGGGAUGACGUCAAAUCAUCAUGCCCCUUAUGACCUGGGCUACACACGUGCUACAAUGGAUGGUACAACGAGUUGCGAACUCGCGAGAGUAAGCUAAUCUCUUAAAGCCAUUCUCAGUUCGGAUUGUAGGCUGCAACUCGCCUACAUGAAGUCGGAAUCGCUAGUAAUCGCGGAUCAGCAUGCCGCGGUGAAUACGUUCCCGGGCCUUGUACACACCGCCCGUCACACCAUGAGAGUUUGUAACACCCAAAGUCGGUGGGGUAACCUUUUAGGAACCAGCCGCCUAAGGUGAACAGGAAGG
rnacentral:rRNA from 1 species